rnacentral:lncRNA from 1 species
UACGCGCUAUAAACUUCUGUUAUUAUUGCUCAUAAUCGUCAUAUUUAAGGCAAACAUUAAAGGUACCAUACACAGGGUUGGCGGGAUAAAUAUUUUUGAUUCAAUAAAAGCGGAUUUCCUCAAUUUAGUGCAGAUAUUUUUGAAGCGAAGAUUCUACGUUAUUUCUUAUACAUCCGCUAAAUAUCCGUCAGAAAAAGUCCUUUAGGAUUGAGGGACUUACAGACAUAAAAACAGUCAAAUUUAUUGCAACCGGUUUUUAGUUUUACAAAUACUUCCGGUGUCAAAACCAAGACAGACGACAGUAGGUCAAGUUAACGCCAGCGGUUACAUAACAUAUUAAGAAAAAGUUAUUUUGGAAAUUGCAAACAGAGAUUUAAAUUUUAUUGAAGUGAUCAAUUCUUAUUAAUAGAAAACAGAUUUUUUUAAAACAUUAAUUAUAGCGUGACGUACAUAUACAUACAUAUGUGGGAAUAAUACGAACGUUUACUAAUAAUAUUCAGAUGGAAAAAUGUUUGACUAUUUUACACGAAAUUCUGACAUCGUUAUUCAAAUGCAGCGGUUAGCACACAUACAUUUCAGAGAAAUAUCGCGAGGAAACAGACAGAUGGAUAAUACGACAAAGUAACAGGUUGCCGUUGACACAAAAUAAAUCAUGACAGGACUGUUAUUAAUUUUCGAAACACUUGCGUAUUUGACGCAAGAAACACGAUCCCGGAUGAGAAAUUACGAUAUAAAACAUUGUUUCAGGGAUUAGAUUAAUGCCGUGCGGUAACAUUCAGUAAGGGAAACUGGAUGCGAAGUAGUGACAUUUUGCCAAAGCGUUUUAUAAGGGAAUGGGAUAUUGUCUCUCUGAAGCAAAUCAACUAUACGCGCUAAUCGGGGCUGUAUUUAAUAGCGUACGGAUAACAAUACGUCUAUAAACUAAGAGUCAAGACGUAAAAUGACAUUACCUUUUUAUUAUCAUUGCCAACGCGAAUAUAAUUAUGAUCAGCGGUCUAUUUAGAACCUGAAUUUAAAGCUUAAAAUAAAGACGUGAAUGGAUAAUAUGAUUAGUUUUAUAUUUAGAUAUUAAUGGAUUAGUUUAAGAUAAUUUAGCGAAAUCAUGGUUUUAUUUUGCAAGUUUGAUGACCUCGAAGACCAUUUAACUGAGUUUAAGUAAUGCGUUUUGCUAUUGUCGCUAGGGAAUUAAAUGCAAGCUGCGGUGUAAUUACACUAAAGACAUCUGACUGUGAUGUUAAUAGUUGAGUGUUUGUGUCACGUUGCUCGAGUGACAAACUCGGAAUAAAAGGACAUAAUCACUUGGGAGUAGCGCUUAGAGCGCAGGAGAGAAUCAUCGUGAUCAGCCAUCACGAAACAAUGCAAUCUACAAAGUUUGAACGAAUAAUAUUACGCCGGCCAUUUAAUAUUGUCUUUUUAAUGGGUGUAAAGUCUGCUAAUAAAAAUGUCGUUCUUGCAUGAUAAUAAAUAAAUCUGUAAAUAUGUACUAAAUUUAUAAAGAGGUAUAGUUUGGAUGCCAACAUAUCCCCUGGAAUUAUGUCUGAAAUAACAGAUUUGAAAUUCAAAAUUGUUUCUCUAAUUUGAAACUAAAUGAUCUCUGAUUGCUGUUGACCACGUUUAAGCUCGACAAUGGAUAUCCCAUUACUUUAACGUGAUAAAAAUUGUUUAUAAUACACAAAAUUGACAAUAUAUCGACUGUAAAAUUGAUACAUGUUCUAUAAAACAACACACAUAACGACUACACCAUACCACAUUAUUUUCAGUACUUAUACUUAUGAAGACUUGUAUCUACGAACAAACUCUGGCAUGAAAUCAAAUUUCUUUGGUAAAAUAUUCUUUGAGACUUUUUAAUUUAAAGGCUGACCCGUCUACUUGUUUUUGUCCUCACAUUCUGUGAUACCAACUUAAAAUAUCAAUGUCAAAGUUCAACGUAUCCAUGCACUCUAAUCCAAACGCAAUGAUGUAAUUAUUUAAAAUAAAUAUUAGAGGUUAUCAUUAAAAUGCCCACAAAAUGUAUUAUAAAAAUGCCGUUACUGAUAUAUAAGCAUAAACUGGUUUUUGUUUUGUUACAUAUCAAUAAAAUUCUAAUAUACUUGACCCUUAAACUAAAACGGCACAUUUUAUUAAUUUAAUUUCUAUCAUAAAAUAAAUUAUUAAGGUCUAUUUUUGCAGUUUGGGCAGAAGGAAAGGUGACAUCAGACCCUCGUAUCUAUAAUAUCUGGUGCCAAUAAUUGGAGAUAAUGGUGUUAAUCGCAGAGAGAUGACUGCGAUUGAAGCUAAUGUAUCAAUUAACAUAAAUUGAUGGAUGUUGCGAUGUGUUCUCCGUUUGUACGACGCAACGUGAUUAUUAACGUUCCGAAUCGUCUCUUGAAACGUGAGGGUGAGCUAUGCGCAGGUGGGAAGGGUCCUACUCCGACCUUUGGCAUUCUCCUACUCGAUGCCGCAGAAGCCUAAUGGACUUUUAUGGACCUUCUAAUGAAAUUGUGUGUACCCAGACCUCAUCUGAGUGCCAAUUGACAUAUCAUGUUACCUACUCUAAUGAACAUAGUAAGAUUUUAAGAGAUAUUUUCAUCGCGCUUCAAUAUCUUUAUGUUUUAAGACAGAAAUUGUAAUGUUUUAGUAUUUAAAUUAUUUAAACUAUUAAAGAUAAUGUUUAAUGAGUCCA